UACGUAGGCAGCAAGCGUUGUUCGGAAUUACUGGGCGUAAAGAGUGCGUAGGCGGUGCUCUAAGUCUGUCGUGAAAUCUCCCGGCUCAACUGGGAGGGUGCGGCGGAAACUGGAGUGCUCGAGUGUGGGAGAGGUAAGCGGAAUUCCAGGUGUAGCGGUGAAAUGCGUAGAUAUCUGGAGGAACACCGGUGGCGAAGGCGGCAUCCUGGACCAACACUGACGCUGAUGAGCGAAAGCCAGGGGAGCAAACGGG
rnacentral:rRNA from 1 species